rnacentral:rRNA from 1 species
AGCAAUAGAAGUGGCGAAAGGGCGAGGAAUAGAUUCCUACGUACCCCGGAGUCAGGGAUAACCAUCGGAAACGGUGGCUAACACCUGAUGAUCUCGAAAGAGCAAAGUUUACGCUCUGGGAGCGGGGAAUCUCCUAUCAGGUAGUUGGUGAGGUAAUGGCUCACCAAGCCUUAGACGGGUAGCGGGUGUGAGAGCACGGCCCGCCGCAUCGGGACUGAGACACUGCCCGGACUCCUACGGGAGGCUGCAGUAACGAAUCUUCCGCAAUGCACGAAAGUGUGACGGGGCAAUGCCGCGUGUGGGAUGAAGCCCCUCGGGGUGUAAACCACUGUCAGGGUCUAGGAACACAAUGACCAUACCCAAAGGAAGCACCGGCUAACUCUGUGCCAGCAGCCGCGGUAAUACAGAGGGUGCGAGCGUUAAUCGGAAUUACUGGGCUUAAAGGGUCCGUAGGCUGGGCUGUAGGCGUCGAGUGAAAUACCACGGCUCAACCGUGGAACUGCUCGGCGAACCACAGCUCUUGAGGCGAGCAGAGGCGAUCAGAACGAUAGGUGGAGCGGUGAAAUGCGUAGAUAUCUAUCGGAAUGCCGAAGGUGGAGACAGGUCGCUGGGCUCGUCCUGACGCUGAGGGACGAAAGCGUGGGGAGCAAACGGGAUUAGAUACCCCGGUAGUCCACGCCGUAAACAAUGCGCACUGGGUCGGAGGGGUUUGACGCCUUUCUGGCCGAAGCAAAAGUGUUAAGUGCGCCGCCUGGGGAGUACGGUCGCAAGGCUAAAACUCAAAGGAAUUGACGGGGGCUCACACAAGCGGUGGAGCAUGUGGCUUAAUUCGAAGCAACGCGAAGAACCUUAUCCCAGGCUUGACAUCCAGGUAUUAGUCCUAUGAAAGUAGGAUAACAGUCGCAAGACCGGAACUUGGACAGGUGCUGCAUGGCUGUCGUCAGCUCGUGCUGUGAAGUGUCGGGUUAAGUCCCUCACGAGCGAAACCCCUAUUGUUAGUUGCUAACAGGUAAUGCUGAGGACUCUAGCGAGAC